AGUAGAGUUUGGUAGGGAGGCCUAACGAUGAUCCCUAGGCUGUGGUUCAUGAGUCUAGCUUGGGUGAGGAAGUGGGACAUCCUACCUGAAUUUCUAAGUCUUAAGUCUGUUGGGGUGAGGGAUCUUCAAAACUGAGGUGAUGCUACAGUUGAAUGAAAGUACUGAGAGGAGAGUGGUACUGUAGUCAGAUGAUAGUUCAGGAUUGGAAACAGCUGCAUGUUAACAGUUUGCGGUAUACCGAACAUUUGAGUAUACAUUAUAUAUAUAUUUUUAAUGUUUUUUACCUAUUUGUCUGUGGCCAGUCUUAGUUGCAAGAGGGGACAACGUGAUGAGAUGGAUGGUAUCACUGACUCAAUGGACAUGAGUUUGAGCAAACUCUGGGAGAUGGUGAAGAACAGGGAAGCCUGGUGUGCUGCAGUCCAUGGGGUAGCAACGACUUGGACACAACUGAGCAACUGAACAAGAAGUCUUGGAUGUGCAUGUGGGAUCUAGUUCCUUGACCAGGAAUGAAACUCGGGACCCCUGCAUUGAAAGUGUGAAGUCUUAAUCAGUGACAACCAAGGAAGUUCCUUGAGGGGCAUGGAUUCCUGAUCUGAACCAAGAAGCCACAGACCACGCUGCCGAAAUAUAGGAAAAACAAUGGUUAAAAAGAAGAGAAGGAGACGCAGACAUAGAAAAUGUGGACACAGCAGGGGAAGAAGCGGCAAGGAAAAACUGAGAAAGCAGCGGUGACGUAUAUACACUGUCACGUGUAAAACAUAUAAGCAGCAAGCUGCUCUAUGCCACAGGGAGCCAGCCUGGCACUGUAUGGUGACAGAGAGAGAUGGAAUGGUGGGGGGAGGGAGGCUCCAGAGAGAGAGGCUAUAUAUAUAACUGUGACUGAUUCACACUGAUGUACAGUGAGGCCACUACAACAUUGUAAAGAAAUUAUUCCUCUAAUAAUAAUAGUAAAAGACUUCUGAAAAAAAAACUUUAGUACUCUGACUUCUUAAGAUCUGGACAGAGUUCCACUUGCUUCCUUGGCUCACCACCUGGAUGUCACAGGCAAGCAUUGGAGAUUUUGACCCUAUUUGGCACUCCUGGAUGUUCUGAUUCUGUGUUUAUGAAUUCAAAUAUGUUCAUCAGAAUUAUAUCAAUAUGGAAGACUUUUCAACUAAAAGAUACAUUUUGGAAUGAACUUGACUAUGACCACUUAAUUUCUACAUUAACUUCCUAUAGAGUGCAUUUAAGGGAAAGGCUACCCACUCCAGUAUUCUGGCCUAGAGAAUUCCAUGGACCGUAUAGUCCAUGGGGUCACAGAGAAUCAGACAAGACUGAGCAACUUUCACUUUCAAACUUUAAAUUAUUAUUGUACUGGUAUUUCUUUGUUUUGAAUUUAAAUUCUUUUCUACAUUACAACAAAGAUUUACUAUUCAGUUUUAUUUUGCUUAUUUUAUCUAUACCAAAUGUUAUCUAUUAUAAUUUCAUCCAAGGUAAAUUUUCUUCUGUGGUCUCUUUUUUCUUUCCUGCUAUCAAGUCUAGUUUCCUGGGCUAAGAAGACUUAAAUGUCACUUUUUCAACCAAAACAAAGCUUAUUGGGUACAAUUCUGGCUUCAUCAAUUUAUUUUGCUAUUUCUAUCUGUAGUAUUCAAAAUCAAGUAGAAAAAAUGCUAGUAGUUAUAGUCAUCUCAUGGAGCAGAUAUAUAGGGCAGAUAUAUAAGAUUUGAGAUUAUAGUAGAGUUAGAAUGAAGAGGUCAAAACAUCUUGUAUUGCUCACAGCCAUCUCAAGCUCAGUUUGACUAACACUGAAUUCUUCAUCUUAUCUAAAUUCAUUUGAGGAAUCUAACU